CAUUACUGGACUCGCAAGACUCCUAUACCCUGUGAAUCUUACCUGAAAACGCGUUGCUUCGGCGGGUGCCCCGGGUCUCCCGAGGCGCUGUGCCCGCCGGCAGCACACCACUCUGUUUCUUGCGUUGGCAUCUAUGAGUGAUACAAAAUAAGUUAAAACUUUCAACAACGGAUCUGUUGGUUCUGGCAUCGAUGAAGAACGCAGAGAAAUGCGAUAAGUAAUGCGAAUUGCAGAAUUCAGUGAGUCAUCAGAAUCUUUGAACGCACAUUGCGCCCGCCAGUAUCCUGGCGGGCAUGCCUAUUCGAGCGUCAUUGCAACCCCUCAGGCCCUGCCUGGUGUUGGAGGACUGCGCAGCAGCCUCCUAAAGCAAGUGGCGGCGGCGCCUUGGAACCGAACGCAGUACUGUAUCUCGUUCAGGACCCCGGGUGUCGACCUGCCGGAAAACCCCCAACU
rnacentral:misc_RNA from 1 species